UGAUGGGUCAAGUUAACGUUAAGUUCUUAGUCAGGUUUUUGGAAAGAAACAACGAUAUUUUCAUCGUUAGGACUCGCGGUUGUAGCCAUGCAGGAGACGAUUCGAGAUAGUAGGACAGAUUUAGACAAAGUGCAGGAUUUUAAAGAAGACUCGCACCGGUACCCUGACAUGAACAUAUAAAUUUUUCGAGCCUCGAAACCAACCCCGCUUAUGAUGAUGCCGAGUCAUAGCCGUGAUGGAAGUUGCCAGGAAGCAUAAAGUAAAUAGGCUUAUAACUCUGCCUACAUGUUUUCGCUUCCAAUAUCAUAGAACUUUAUUUUAUAAAUUUGCCAUGCAGAAGUUGCAGACGGAAUUCAAAACUGUAUAAAAUGAAACAACAGAACGAUAUGUUUAAUGUUUCUCUAAUAUAAAUUGAUGAAAUUCUUGUUUGUUUACAAAAUAAACUGUAUAAAUAUCC